rnacentral:misc_RNA from 1 species
GAUGAAGAACGUAGCAAAAUGCGAUACUUGGUGUGAAUUGCAGAAUCCCGUGAACCAUCGAGUUUUUGAACGCAAGUUGCGCCCGAAGCCUUUUGGCCGAGGGCACGUCUGCCUGGGCGUCACGCAUCGCGUCGCCCCCCACAAUUCUCCGUAAAGGGAACAUGUGUUUUGGGGGCGGAUAUUGGUCUCCCGCGCUCAUGGCGUGGUUGGCCGAAAUAGGAGUCCUUUCGAUGGACGCACGAACUAGUGGUGGUCGUAAAAACCCUCGUCUUUUGUUUCGUGCUGUUGCUCGCAAGGUAAACUCUUUAAAAACCCCAAUGUGUCGUCUCUUGACGACGCUUCGACCGCGACCCCAGGUCAGGCGGGACUACCCGCUGAGUUUAAGCAUAUCAAUAAGCGGAGGA